GACGAACGCUGGCGGCGUGCUUAACACAUGCAAGUCGGGCGGUAAGGCCCUUUCGGGGGUACACGAGCGGCGAACGGGUGAGUAACACGUGGGUGACCUGCCCUCAGCUCUGGGAUAAGCCUGGGAAACCGGGUCUAAUACUGGAUAUGACUCCAUGACGCAUGUUGUGGGGUGGAAAGCCUUGUGCGGCUGAGGAUGGGCCCGCGGCCUAUCAGCUUGUUGGUGGGGUGAUGGCCACCAAGGCGACGACGGGUAGCCGGCCUGAGAGGGCGACCGGCCACACUGGGACUGAGACACGGCCCAGACUCCUACGGGAGGCAGCAGUGGGGAAUCUUGCGCAAUGGGCGAAAGCCUGACGCAGCGACGCCGCGUGCGGGAGGAAGCUCUUCGGGGUGUAAACCGCUGUCAGGGGGAAGAACGGACCGGGAGGAAAUGCUCCGGUUUUGACGGUACCCCCAGAGGAAGCACCGGCUAACUCUGUGCCAGCAGCCGCGGUAAC
rnacentral:rRNA from 1 species